AUAUGAUCUAAACGAAACGCAGUUCACUUAGACAACAACACAAAAGCCGUUUCUAAAUAUUUAGUUCCGAAAUUUCUCAAUUACAAAUAUACUUUAGAAAUAUGGGUAAUCCGGUUUACUGUGUCUUCUGGCUGAUAAUAUUCCUGUUGUUCUCAUUCUUUGUGGCAUAUUUUUGCUCAUUUUUCUACGUGUGGACCUAUCUUUUCGCUCAGUGCAUUGAUCCCUGUGGUAAAAUCUCGGAUUUCCUUUUGAAGUGCGUGCAGUUUCCCGGCUACUGCUUUACUUCCAUGAUAAAUUGCAAGAAACCCUGCUGAACAUGGCCACAGAAGAGUAACUCAUACAUUAUUUUAGAUAUUCUUUUGGUGCAGUGUAUAUCGUAAUGAAAAGGGAAAUUUAUCGUAUUUCCCUUUAUUAAAAUAAAAUGUCUUACCGUUUGAUAUAAGGAAUUCACAGAGCUAGAAAGCAUUCAAAUUUGCGCUGGCACAUUCCUUAUAUCAAAUGUGGACUUAUUUUAUUUAGAA